GCGGAGGAAAAGAAAAUAACAAUGAUUUCCCCAGUAACGGCGAGUGAAGAGGAAAGAGCUCAAAGUUGGAACCUGUUUGGCUUAGCUAAACCGGAUUGUAAACUGUAGAAGUGUUUUCCUGACACGCCAGAUAAAUAAGUCCUUUGGAACAGGGCAUCAUAGAGGGUGAGAAUCCCGUCUUUGGUCUGAGCUGUUGUCUUUUGUGAUACAUUUUCAAAGAGUCAGGUUGUUUGGGAAUGCAGCCUAAAUUGGGUGGUAAAUCUCACCUAAAGCUAAAUAUUUGCGAGAGACCGAUAGCGAACAAGUACCGUGAGGGAAAGAUGAAAAGAACUUUGAAAAGAGAGUUAAACAGUAUGUGAAAUUGUUAAAAGGGAACCGUUUGGAGCCAGACUGGCUUGACUGUAAUCAAUCUAGAUCCUUCUGGAUGCACUUGCAGUCUAUGCCUGCCAACGACAAUUUUUUCUGGGAGAAAAAACUAAGAGGAAUGUGGCCCUUCGGGGUGUUAUAGCUUUUUAGAAAAUAUCCUGGAUUGGAUUGAGGAUCGCAGUGAAUGCCUUUAGGCAAGAUUGCUAGGCGCUUUCGCUAAUAAAUGCUAGAAUUUCUGCUUCAGGUGGUGCUAGUGUUUAAAGGUGGAACUCGUCUGGUAUAUUUUUUAUUCGCUUAGGUUGUUGGCUUAAUGACUCUAAUGA
rnacentral:rRNA from 1 species